UCGAGUAUGGUGUAACGGCUAACAUUACCGCCUUUCAUGGUAUUUGGUCGCGGUAGCUCGGGGUUCGAUUCCCCGUACUCGAA
rnacentral:tRNA from 1 species